rnacentral:tRNA from 1 species
GCGCCUAUAGUUCAAUGGUUAGAGCAUCUGGCUUAUAUCCAGCUAAUUGGGGUUCGAGUCCCUGUGGGCGUACCA